rnacentral:rRNA from 1 species
ACGGAAGGCAGCAGUGGGGAAUAUUGGGCAAUGGGCGAAAGCCUGACCCAGCGACGCCGCGUGAAGGAAGAAGGUCUUCGGAUUGUAAACUUCUGUCGUCAGGGAAGAAACAAAUGACGGUACCUGAUGAGAAAGCCACGGCUAACUACGUGCCAGCAGCCGCGGUAAUACGUAGGUGGCAAGCGUUAUCCGGAUUUACUGGGUGUAAAGGGUGUGUAGGCGGGACUGCAAGUCAGAUGUGAAAAUUAUGGGCUCAACUCAUAACCUGCAUUUGAAACUGUGGUUCUUGAGAGUCGGAGAGGUAAACGGAAUUCCUGGUGUAGCGGUGAAAUGCGUAGAUAUCAGGAGGAACACCGGUGGCGAAGGCGGUUUACUGGACGACAACUGACGCUGAGACACGAAGGCGUGGGGAGCAAACAGGAUUAGAUACCCUGGUA